GCCGGUGCGGUCGGCGGCGGGGGCGCCGGUCUCGCCGCGACCGGCGGCGGCCUCUCCCCGCUCGCCGUCCUCGGUCUCGUCGUGGCGGCGACC
rnacentral:tRNA from 1 species